rnacentral:rRNA from 1 species
GAUGAACGCUGGCGGCGUGCCUAAUACAUGCAAGUCGAGCGAACAGACGAGGAGCUUGCUCCUCUGCCGUUAGCGGCGGACGGGUGAGUAACACGUGGAUAACCUACCUAUAAGACUGGGAUAACUACGGGAAACCGGAGCUAAUACCGGAUAAUAUAUUGAACCGCAUGGUUCAAUAGUGAAAGACGGUUUUGCUGUCACUUAUAGAUGGAUCCGCGCCGCAUUAGCUAGUUGGUAAGGUAACGGCUCACCAAGGCGACGAUGCGUAGCCGGCCUGAGAGGAGGACCAGCCACACGGGAACUGAGCCACGGUCCAGACUCAUACGGGAGGCAGCAGGGGGGAAUAUUGGACAAUGGGCGCAAGCCUGAUCCAGCCAUACCGCGUGGGUGAAGAAGGCCUUCGGGUUGUAAAGCCCUUUUGUUGGGAAAGAAAAGCAGCAGGUUAAUACCCCGCUGUUCUGACGGUACCCAAAGAAUAAGCACCGGCUAACUUCGUG